UUUUUAAAAUGUAAAAACAGACUUAUAGGCAGCAGUUGGGAUAAUUCCCCACCCUUUCUGGGUAUAUUCCUGAUAAAUACAUGGUGAGGAGGUGAUUCCUGCUGCAGAAUUUAUUGCCUGGAUGAAUAAAUCCCAGGAGGGGAACAGGUAUUGUCACAGCAGGGCGGCACCCACAGCGCUGCUGGGAUGAGAGGACAGCAGGAAUUCUGUGAUCCCACAAUCCCACACUGGUUUGGGAUGGAAAGGACCUCCAAAAUCAUCCAUAUCCAACCUGCUGCCGUGGCCAGGGAUGCCUUUGAUGUUUAAGGAUUUGUUGGAACCCCUUUUGGGGCUGUUGGUGCCUCUCCCCUUCAUCACCACCACCACCCACACCCCUGCUCUCUCCUUAGCUAAAAUCCUCCCUGGAAGUGUGAAAACAGCAGGGAAAAAAACAAAAACAAAAUAAAAAACAAAACAAACAAAACAACAACAACAACAAAAAAACCCCACCACCAAAAAACCACAAAAAAACCAAAAAAAACCAAACCAACCUGGCGUGGUUUUGAGCAUCCCCACCUCUCUGGGAGCGGCCACCGAGAUUUUCCAGGGAGGAAAAGCCCGAGGGGAAAGAACCAAGAGCAGGCUGCGGGCUGGAGGCGGCACGGGAAGGGUUAAGGAUUACCGGGCUGGCUCUGAUGUGCUUUCCAGGCAAACAAAAUGGUGAGCACGCCUUGGGCUACGUUUUCAGCGUGUUUUCUUGGGAGAUCAAAGCUUAAACCCCGUUAACCCUUCAAAUGUCAGCCUGGUGAGUUCCUUUCCUUUACCUCUGAGCUUCUGGUGCUGCCUUCAGCAGGGAGCCAGGGCUCUGCCUGGAUCUGCUGCUGUUCCUGCUCCUCGUUUCCCCCACCAGCAUCUCCACGGAAGCAUCACCUUGUCAGUGGGCAGAGUUCAAACAGCCCCUUUAACCAGCCCACACUGCUUCCCCAUUUACUGACUCCGAGAUCUGGCCAGAAGCCAGCACUCAAAUACAUUUAUUUUGGUUUUUUACUGUU